CCCUGCCUCUUCACAGAAAGUCUACAACCGUAAUGUCCCAGAAAUCUUUGCUCUGACAUUUAUUCUGAGUUUUCCUUUCAUUAAUCCACUCUUCGUGCAUUAUGAUUUAGAUCUACCUCUUCGUUCACCCUGUAACCGCCUCGAACUCCAUCUAUAAAUAUCGGCCCUCACUUCCAUUCACAGCACAUCUCAAACAAUUUUCUCAAACAUACGAUCUCCUAGAAGCAACAUAUUCAGAUGGCGAAUUCUCUCUGCAAGGUUCUACACUCCAAGCUGUGAGAUUUCCUUAUGAACGGUGGUCGCAAAUUUGAUUCCGUACAAAAAAAAGCAGCAGCCGAAGAAAGGUUCACGAGGUAAAGGCUUAAAGAAGGUUCAAAGGUUCAUUGUGCAGAUCAUAAGAUCAUUUGGCUGACUCAACAUUGAGAACUGAAACUUCACAUAAGAUCAUUUUUACCUAAUUAAUAUGUUUACAUGAAGCAAAAUACGCUGGUGUACAGUACAGUAAAUCUUCUUAUAAUGAGGGUGAGCCUCUACAUAUACGUAACAUUACCAACAAGAGGAAACACUGAGCUUGGAGCUUCAGGGACAUUGCCUUUCCUCACUCACUUCCUUCUUUCUCAAUAUAUGUUAGUGAACAAGGUUCAUGGUCUACAAUGAUUUUUUAUGAAGCGUGGGCUAUGUCGUCAUUGGUUUGCAACAAAUUGUGUUAGUGAGGCUUCAUACUUCCUCAAGUUUGAUCACGUUUUAAUCUGAAUGCAUUUGGGUGAGACAUGUUUGUUUUUGGACAACAUGUUUUGUUAUAUGUUUUGUUGUAAUCUUUGUGUACUGCCCCUCUUUUUAAUGUUAAGAAUGAAAUAUAUAGUUUCUA